AAUGAACGCUGGCGGCAGGCCUAACACAUGCAAGUCGAGCGAGCGGCGGACGGGUGAGUAAUGUAUGGGGACUGCCAGAUCGAGGGGGAUAACUAAGGGAAACGGUGGUUAAUACCGCAAACUACCGGCUAGCCCAUAGGGGAUUGGCUAGUAGGUGGGGUAAAGGCUUACCUAGGCGACGAUCUCUAGCUGGUCUGAGAGGCGGAUCAGCCACACUGGGACUGGGAUACGUCCCAGCUUCCUACGGAGGCAGCAGUGGGGAAUAUUGCACAAGUGGCGCAAGCCUGAUGCAGCCAUGCCGCUGGUAUGAAGAAGGCCUUAGGGUUGUAAAGUACUUUCAGCGGGGAGGCGUUACCCGCAGAAGAAGCACCGGCUAACUCCGUGCCAGCCGCCGCGGUAAUUC
rnacentral:rRNA from 1 species